rnacentral:lncRNA from 1 species
UGCUUGCAAGGGCUCAGGUUGCUUCAGCUGCUGGCCAUCCACAGAUUGCAGCCGAUUCCUUGGAGAAAAUACCUGACAUUUAACACAAGCCUGCAACUGUUGCCACUAUUGUCUCUCUCAAGGAACGGGCUGGAGAUUCUGAUGGUGCCGAUGCUAUGUUUGAUUCCGCAAUCAAGUGGUGGUCAAAUGCCGUGACUGAAGACAAUAAGCUCAAUACCAUCAUGCAGGAGACUGCUGCUUUCAAGCUCAGGCAUAGAAGGAAAGAGGAGGCAGCACGCCUUUAUGAACAGCUAGUGAAAAGCCAUGGAAGUACUGAGGCUUUAGUUGGAUUAAUCCAGACUGCAGCCCAUGCUGACAUUGAGAAAGCAGAAGCUUAUGAGAAGCAGUUAAAACCACUACCUGGUUUGAAAGCAAUAGACGUCGACAGUUUGGAGAAAACUUCUAGUGCCAAGCAAGCCGAGAAAGGUCCAAAUGCUGGUGCCACUGAAACAUACGAAGGGAAGAGUAAGGAUAAGGCGAAGAAAAAGAGGAAGAGAAAGCCAAAAUAUCCAAAGGGCUUUGACCCGGCUAAUCCAGGACCUCCACCUAAUCCAGAGAGGUGGCUUCCCAAGAGGGAGAGGUCUAGUUACAGACCAAAGAGAAAGGAUAAGAGAGCAGCUCAAAUUAGAGGUUCUCAAGGUGCAGUGGCUAAAGAGGCAGCGAGCAGUUGUGAUACGAAGUCAAACCAGCCAGCUAAUCUAAAAGGAGCCUCUCAGAAUGCAGUGCAAUCAAAGGCUUCAUCCAAAUCAAGGAAGUAAUCCAACAACAGAUAACUGAUGUUUCUUUGUUAUUGUUUCCCUGGAUUCAUUUAGCAUUUCUGUUGUACAACAUGAGUUAGUCUCGGAGAUGUCCAUUUAUAUAUUGUUAACUUUUUCAUACAUAAGGUUGUAGGGAAGGCAUCUAAAGUUAACCUACCUUGAUCACUUUUGGAAAGGCCUCAUUUACUGAGUUCUCUUAGGUCUAAAGUCUAAAUUAUUAGGAUUGUGUUAUCAAUCUUUUUUUAAA